UACGUAGGGGGCAAGCGUUGUCCGGAUUUAUUGGGCGUAAAGAGCGUGUAGGCGGCCAGACAGGUCCGUUGUGAAAACUCGAGGCUCAACCUCGAGAUGUCGAUGGAAACCGUCUGGCUAGAGUCCGGAAGAGGAGUGUGGAAUUCCUGGUGUAGCGGUGAAAUGCGUAGAUAUCAGGAAGAACACCUAUGGCGAAGGCAGCACUCUGGGACGGUACUGACGCUGAGACGCGAAAGCGUGGGGAGCGAACAGG
rnacentral:rRNA from 1 species